UACGUAGGGAGCAAGCGUUGUCCGGAAUCAUUGGGCGUAAAGCGCGCGUAGGCGGCCCGAUAAGUCCGCUGUGAAAGUCAACGGCUCAACUGUUGGAUGCCGGUGGAUACUGUCGGGCUAGAGUACGGAAGAGGCAAGUGGAAUUCCUGGUGUAGCGGUGGAAUGCGCAGAUAUCGGGAGGAACACCUAUAGCGAAGGCAGCUUGCUGGGACGUUACUGACGCUAAGGCGCGAAAGCGUGGGGAGCGAACAGG
rnacentral:rRNA from 1 species